rnacentral:rRNA from 1 species
UACGUAGGGGGCUAGCGUUGUUCGGAAUUACUGGGCGUAAAGCGCACGUAGGCGGACUGUUAAGUCAGGGGUGAAAUCCCGGGGCUCAACCCCGGAACUGCCUUUGAUACUGGCAUUCUCGAGUCCGGAAGAGGUGAGUGGAAUUCCGAGUGUAGAGGUGAAAUUCGUAGAUAUUCGGAGGAACACCAGUGGCGAAGGCGGCUCGCUGGUCCGGUACUGACGCUGAGGUGCGAAAGCGUGGGGAGCAAACAGG